rnacentral:rRNA from 1 species
CCCUUAGAUGUCCUGGGCCGCACGCGCGCUACACUGAGUGUCUGAGAUACGAGUCUGCCUGGUCCGGCAAGGUCUAGGUAAUCGCUAAAAGACACAUCAUGCUUGGGAUAGAUUAUUGCAAAUAUUAAUCUUGAACGAGGAAUUCCUAGUAAGCGCAAGUCAACAGCUUGCGUUGAUUACGUCCCUGCCCUUUGUACACACCGCCCGUCGCUACUACUGAUUGGAUGUUUAAUCGAGGUUCUCGAACUGCUAGCGACUUAGCUUCGGUGAGGUCGCAGUGUGGGAAGUGAACCUAGCUUUGGUGUCUAGAGGAAGUAAAAGUCGUAACA